rnacentral:lncRNA from 1 species
UAAUCUACAUUGUAUCUCUAACAAAUCUCAUAAAUCCUUCAAGGUUCGGAUGAGGUUCUGUUGGUGGUGGCGGAAAAUAAGCUUGUUCAUCACUGCUUCCGGGUGAAGCAACAUCCUCCGCAAGUUCCGCUAUCAUUUCUUCAUAAACUUCGUCUAUCUCUGGUUGUGAUUCUGCAAGUCUAAAGUUUCUUCUUUCUGCGCGGAUUCAAUCUGAAUAGUACUGAUUUUUCCAAGCUCUCCUAAUAGAUGCUCUAUGAUCGCCUAUUUGAAGUCUAGCUUGACUGGAAGCGC